UUUUUAGUUCUCGGCGCCAUGGAUAAAGACCAACAGAAAAGAGGUAAAAACCUCAUGCCAUUCUCAAUUUUAGUUUAUAAACAAUGAAUACUUUUGUGUGUAUUAAUUCUUGUUAAUACUAUUUAAUUUUAUUGGAAAGUGAUGAAGUUUUGUAAUCAUUGAAUUGUCUUUGCUACCAUAUAAUUGAAAAUUGUUAAAAUAGGACACAUCCUUAAGCGCUCAGCUAUUAGUGCUCAGGUGAACAUAAUUGUGGCGUCAAUUCUUAUUGGUUGAAGGAGAAAUUAGUAAGUGUUAAAUUGGGAUUGUAUAGGCGUGACUAUUAGUGGACAGCAACUGCUGUAUAGUAAUUGAGUGGGAUUACUACUACCUCGUCUGCCACUGGUUCGUAACAAGUGGCUUCCAUUUUUUUUAAAAUUAAAAUUAUGUUUUUACAUUAAAAUUAUAUUUUUGGUAUGUUGAGAUGGGUCGUUAAAUAUUAGGUUCAUCAUAUUGUUAAAAUUCUAUUAAAAUAAUGUUAACUGGAGGAAUUAAGACUUGCUCUUAGGUUUGAAUUUUAGGAAAUUGAUUAUAAUAUUAGGUGAAUUUUCUGUCUAGGCUAGACAUAGAAUAAUAUGAGUGUUUAUAACCCUUUAACUUACAAAUAUUGUAUACUUGAUAUAUAUUGAAAACGUUUCGACACAUUGAGGAAAGGAAAAUCAUUAUUGUUUAGCUCGCUUGAUUUUGGUUCUUCAGUGGAGAUAGGUUAUGGUUUAUUUGUAAUUGAUAGAUAAACUCUCAAUAGUGAUUGAUAAGUAUUGAGUGAUAUUGUGAAGUUUUUUUAUGUACUUGGUUAUGUGAUUCUGUCGCUUGGUUGCGUGACUUGUGAUUGGUCUGAAAUCAUGAGACCAUAGAAUUUAUAUUCUUGAAUCCUCUCUAUUGGAGUAAUAUCUUAAAUAAAGAAGAUCUAGUGAAAUAUUGUCAAUGAAUCCAAAAGAAGUGUUAUGUUCUGACACAAUAUUUUUGGAUUGGAGUGUCACGUUUUGAUAUGACAUCGUGGAUCAGAGUGUCACGUUCUGACACAGUAUAAUUGGAUCGAAGUGUCACGUUUCGACAUGGGAUAAGUUGAUCGGAGUGUCACGUUACGACGCAAUAUUCUUUGAUAAGAGUGUCAUAUUCCAACACGGCAAUAUUAAAAGAAAAGGAUAUUGAAUUAACUUAUGGUACUUAAUCUCAAAGAACACAUUUCCCAAAUGAGCAUGGCGUAGAGGCAUGACUCCUCAUGGGUCUGUUUUAUAUUGUGACUGAUUACAUAGUCACUUGUUCAUGUUGUUUGUUUCUUAGUACCUGCUUAAUGUUACAGUUGAGUUUAUACUAUUUAUUCAUCGUAUAUUAGUUUCUAUUUUUAGUUGGCCGAUGAUACCUAUUCAGUACAUUUUGCGUCGUAUUGAGCCUUAAUUGUAUUUUCUUUUGUUUUCCUUUUAUAAAGUGCAGCAAGUGUACCUGCUAAUUUGACUCGCCCUCAGCUCUAGCAAGUCUCAACAUAUCAUGUUCGAGGGUGAGAUAUUCAUUCAAGCUCUUGUUGGAUUCUCUCGGUCAUGACAUGUUGUCCUAUGUUUUCAAACACAUGCCAUUUUUCUCUUUUAUUUUUGUAUAUUUGAUAUUCUUAGACUUAGUAUAUGGAGAUUAGAUGUCCUUAAUGUGCUGACUUUCAGGUUUUGG
rnacentral:lncRNA from 1 species